rnacentral:rRNA from 1 species
GAUGAACGCUAGCGGCAGGCCUAAUACAUGCAAGUCGAACGGUGUCUUCGGACAUAGUGGCGCACGGGUGCGUAACACGUAUGCAACCUACCUUACAUUGGGGGAUAGCCUUUCGAAAGGGAGAUUAAUACCGCAUAAGACAGUAGCUGGGCAUCCAGCAGCUGUUAAAGAUUUAUCGAUGUAAGCUGGGCAUGCGUCCAAUUAGCUAGUUGGUGAGGUAACGGCUCACCAAGGCAAUGAUUGGUAGGGGAACUGAGAGGUCAAUCCCCCACACUGGCACUGGGAUACGGGCCAGACUCCUACGGGAGGCAGCAGUAGGGAAUAUUGGGCAAUGGACGCAAGUCUGACCCAGCCAUGCCGCGUGCAGGAUGAAGGCGUUAUGCGUUGUAAACUGCUUUUAUACAGGAAGAAACGACUCUUGCGACAGGCAUUGACGGUACUGUACGAAUAAGCACCGGCUAACUCCGUGCCAGCAGCCGCCGUAAGAC